AUUGAACGCUGGCGGAAUGCUUUACACAUGCAAGUCGAACGGCAGCACGGACUUCGGUCUGGUGGCGAGUGGCGAACGGGUGAGUAACAUAUCGGAACGUAUCCAAUAAUGGGGGAUAACUAAUCGAAAGGUUGGCUAAUACCGCAUACGCCCUACGGGGGAAAGCUAGGGACCUUCGGGCCUGGCGUUAAUGGAGCGGCCGAUAUCUGAUUAGCUAGUUGGUGGGGUAAAGGCCCACCAAGGCGACGAUCAGUAGCUGGUCUGAGAGGACGACCAGCCACACUGGAACUGAGACACGGUCCAGACUCCUACGGGAGGCAGCAGUGGGGAAUUUUGGACAAUGGGCGCAAGCCUGAUCCAGCCAUUCCGCGUGAGUGAAGAAGGCCUUCGGGUUGUAAAGCUCUUUCGCAAGGGAAGAAAACUUAGGCUCUAACAUAGCCUGAGGUU
rnacentral:rRNA from 1 species